UGUGUAAAAACAGAUCCCUUCAAAACAGGCAGAUCAGUCUACAGGAGAUUAAGGACACCACAUCAGAAAUGCAAGAGGUAGCAUUUUUAUAUGGUCCUCUGGUGACAUGGUAGCAACGUGACCGUACCCAUCUAGUCCUCUGAUAUAACAUGGUACCAACAUGACCGUACCCAUCUAGUCCUCUGAUAUAACAUGGUACCAACAUGACCGUACCCAUCUAGUCCUCUGAUAUGACAAGGUACCAACAUGACCGUACCCAUCUAGUCCUCUGAUAUAACAUGGUACCAACGUGACCGUACCCAUCUGGUCCUGAUAUGACAUGGUAGCAACAUGCCGUACCCAUCUAGUCCUCUGAUAUGACAUGGUAGCAACAUGACCGUACCCAUCUAGUCCUCUGAUAUAACAUGGUAGCAACAUGACCAUACCCAUCUGGUCCUGAUAUGACAAGGUAGCAACAUGACCGUACCCAUCUAGUCCCCUGAUAUGACAAGGGGGUAAC